GUCUAAACUAACCUUUGCCCUAGGGCAGAUAUAAAAUGUAGAUCUGACUUUUCUCAAAGGUAAGUGGGAUACCAGUUCAAGUGGUCAGGAUAGACUUUAUUGAGUAAUAGCUAUUGCAAUAGAGAAGAGGGUCCAACAUAAAUUAGCUCAAAUCUCUUUGGUGCAGGGGUGAUGGACAAUUUAAAGGGAGGUGAGUGAGUAAGGAGGGAAACAAGGGGGAGCUCAUGCAGAGACUGUGUUUAUUAUUGGGUGCUUAUCUGGAGGAGAAGAAACUUGUAGUAUCUUUAUGCCAGAAGGUAGUGGUGCAAGUUAGAGAAAGUUGCCCAAGGCUUGGGAGGCAAGGCAGGAGCUGUUUCCCUUAAUGUUUGCAUUUCACCUACAGGGCCCUCAGAUUCUUGAGAAGCAGUUCUGCAUGGUGGAAGAUCUACAUCUCCAAACACAGCAGAUCACAGAGAAGUAGGGAAGAAAGUUGUGCAUAAGUUAUUCCAGCUCUUCACAUAGCUCUUAAGAUCAUCUUUCAAGACUCCUGUAUUUGCAGGAAGCCUUUAGAAACCAAAACGACCUUGAAAAGCUUCCUGUACCCAUCGCUUGGGCCUGAGCAGGUGCAGUUCUGAAUGACCUCAAGGGGGCUUGAACUUUUAUAGGCAACAGGCUGCACGUUAGUUGUUUCAGCCUGUGCAGACACACUAAAUCAAAAUUAAAUGUUAAUGAUGGUUGUGUCUGUGCCACUCAGCUGGGGAAACUAAAAUAGAGACACAAAGCUCUACCAGCUGUCAGUAGCGGGGUCACUGUCUUCCCCUGUGCCCUGGCUUCCCAGAUUUAUGCCAGCUUCUGCUAUCAGUAAUGACCCUGCUGCCAGAAAGACUUGCUUUUGCCAACAUGUUGGGCUGGAAGAACACAUGUUCGCACAGAAGUUGGAAGUCCUUGAGAGAAGCGCAAAUGGAGGGCACGAGUCCACACACAGGAAAGGAACAACUACUUCAAGCCAUCAGAUCUCUGAAGGAUGUAGGAUCCAUUGCCCUCCAGGUUGGAGAGAAAGAUCUUACCUGUCUCAGAUGCAAAGGGCAAAUAACUCACAAGCCUCAACCACUAGGAAUGCAGCAGGUGGAGUCCAACCCCAGGCAACAGCAGAGGAGAACCAGCACACAGGGUGAAGUAGAUUUGCCAGUGACCACCCUAAGCUGCCUCCUGACAGACUGAGGGAUGCCCCGGCUGAAAACAAGGAACACUUUGCCAUUCUUGCCGGUAGUGGUCUGAAGCUACAGACAGGUCUUGGGAGCAAAGCAGCAGGGUUACAUAAUAAAGGAGACAUCAUUACAUAUCAAAUGAAGAAAGGAAGGGAUAUGCAGAAGGCGAUGUUGGAAUAAUUACUUAAAAUUUCAGAGAAAUAAAAACCAUUUAGUUUCUCAUUUAAAUAGUACCAAAAUAAACUUAAGAUACUUUCAAGUUAUAUAAAUAGGUAAAACAAAAAAGUAAAACACUGUAAUUGAAGAAUCGAGGAAAGAUGGGCCCAUUUGACUACAUAAAAAUUUUGCCUCCUAGAUGUAAAAAUAAAAUAAGAUUUGGAAAAAAUGUAUUUGGUAUGAAAAAUGCUGAGAACACAAUAGUUUAGCUGGCAAAGGACAUUGUUAUAGGCUAAACUGUGUCCCCCUAAACCUAUGUUGAAUCCCGAACCACCAGUACCUCAGAAUGUGACUGUGUUUGGAUAUAAGGAAUUUACAGAGGUAAUUAAGUUAAAAUGGUGUUAUUAGGAUGGGCCCUAAUCCAAUAUGGCUGCCGUCCUUAGAACAGGAGAUUAGAACACGGACACACAGAGAGGGACGGCCAUGUGAAGACCCAGAGAGGAGCACUGCCCACAAGCCCAGGAGAGAGGCCUCAGGAGAAACCAGCCCUGCGGAUACCGAGCUAGGACUUCCAGCCUCCAGAACUGUGAGAAAACACACUUCUGCUGUGUGAGCCACCAAGACUGUGGUACUUUGUGAUGGCGGCCCUAGCAAACUUGUUCAGACACAUUCUGAUCUUUUACAGACAAGAAUAUAAUGAAUAAACAGAAGUACCUUAAGACAGAAAGGAAAUCCUCUUGAAAGAGAUGACUUCUGAGUUAUGUCUUGAAAAAUGAAAGGGAAUUGUUGAUCUACAAUGAGCUUUAAUCAUUAUUUGCAGCUGGUUUGCUUGCUUAAAAAAACAAACAACACUUCGUAUAUUACCAAAAAUGAGUGAAUUUGAAAUACCAAACUUAAGUUUGUACUUUUAUGUGAAUGAAAUAAACCCAGACAAC